rnacentral:lncRNA from 1 species
AGAACAAUUAAAAAGUCAACUAACAGAAUUAUGCACCAAGUAUAGUGAUGUGUUCGGACUGGAAACCGAACCAAUAGCGACAAAUAAUUUGUAUAAGCAAACAUUAAAACUUAAAGAUGAUGAACCAAUUUAUAUUAAAAACUACAGAAGCCCGCGUAACCAAAUUGAAGAAAUUCAAAAACACGUAAGGAAAUUAAUAAAUGAAAAAAUCGUAACACCGUCUGUAUCCGGUUAUAACAGCCCACUCCUGUUAGUUCCAAAAAAAUCAUUACCAAAUUCGGAAGAUCAGAAAUGGCGAUUAGUAAUUAACUAUCACCAAAUCAACAAAAAACUACUUUCUGAUAAAUACCCGCUCCGCAGAAUUGAUGAUAUUCUAGACCAACUGGGCAGAGCUAAAUACUUUUCAUGCCUUGACUUAAUGUCUGGUUUCCACCAAAUUGAACAUGAAGAAAAUUCAAGAAAUAAUACAUAUUUUUCAACGAGCAAUGGCUCAUAUCGCUUCAUGCGAUUAAUAUUUGGUCUUAAAAUAGCAACAAAUUCAUUUCAGAGAAUGAUGACAAUAGGAUUCUCGGGGUUAGAACCUUCUCAGGCAUUCCUUUAUAUGGAUGACUUAAUGGUGAUAGGAAAUUCCGAAAAACGCAUCAUUAACGAGAAGAAACGUGUGAGACGCUUCUUACGCGUCACAACUUUUAUACCCGGCACUCAGGACUACAUCUAGAUGUAGAAGACAUCGCCAACCACUAGGUAUCGUUUACAUUACAGAACACGUAGUAAAAAGACUACUAAAUAAAAUUCAUCAAAAAAAUUGGAUCAGUUAAUCGUAUUUUCCAAUUUAUGAGAUAUUUAAAACAGCAAUAAAAUUUGUACUUUUUCCCUGCAAAUUCUGUGCAAUAAUGACCGCUAGGUUUCACAGUAGAUUUUUCGAAAGUGGCGCCAUCUAUGAAAAUGUCUGGUAAGCAACUUUGAUGGUCACUCUUUUUCUAAUAAAGAGCGUUGAAACCCGAGUCUUGGUUUUAACUUUUAAAAAUUAGCUUUUGGCCACUGUUUCCGCAACUCCUCGCAACCAGCUCGGAAUCAAAAU